rnacentral:rRNA from 1 species
GAUGAACGCUGGCGGCGUGCCUAAUACAUGCAAGUCGAGCGAACAGACGAGGAGCUUGCUCCUCUGACGUUAGCGGCGGACGGGUGAGUAACACGUGGAUAACCUACCUAUAAGACUGGGAUAACUUCGGGAAACCGGAGCUAAUACCGGAUAAUAUAUUGAACCGCAGGGUUCAAUAGUGAAAGACGGUUUUGCUGUCACUUAUAGAUGGAUCCGCGCCGCAUUAGCUAGUUGGUAAGGUAACGGCUUACCAAGGCAACGAUGCGUAGCCGACCUGAGAGGGUGAUCCGCCACACUGGAACUGAGACACGGUCCAGACUCCUACGGGAGGCAGCAGUAGGGAAUCUUCCGCUAUGGGCGAAAGCCUGACGGAGCAACGCCGCGUGAGUGAUGAAGGUCUUCGGAUCGUAAAACUCUGUUAUUAGGGAAGAACAAAUGUGUAAGUAACUAUGCACGUCUUGACGGUACCUAAUCAGAAAGCCACGGCUAACUACGUG